rnacentral:rRNA from 1 species
GAUGAACGCUGGCGGCGUGCUUAACACAUGCAAGUCGAACGGAAAGGCUCCUGCUUGCAGGGGUACUCGAGUGGCGAACGGGUGAGUAACACGUGGGUGAUCUGCCCUGCACUUCGGGAUAAGCCUGGGAAACUGGGUCUAAUACCGGAUAGGACGAUGGUUUGGAUGCCAUUGUGGAAAGUUUUUUCGGUGUGGGAUGAGCUCGCGGCCUAUCAGCUUGUUGGUGGGGUAAUGGCCUACCAAGGCGUCGCCGGGUAGCCGGCCUGUGAGGGUGUACGGCCACAUUGGGACUGAGAUACGGCCCAGACUCCUACGGGAGGCAGCAGUGGGGAAUAUUGCACAAUGGGCGCAAGCCUGAUGCAGCGACGCCGCGUGGGGGAUGACGGCCUUCGGGUUGUAAACUCCUUUCGCUAGGGACGAAGCGCAAGUGACGGUACCUGGAGAAGAAGCACCGGCUAACUACGUG